GGAAAAUGCUCCUUGCAGAGAAAUGUAAGUGCCAGGGCCUGAGCAGUGUUGCAUUCCUGUGCCCUCUGAAACCUCCCAGGCAGAGUCCUUUCCCUGGGUCCUGGGUAGGGGUUCCAGAAACUUCCCUGAGAUAUUGACACAAAAGGAAUCUCUGCUGUCAGUGUCUACAGCUGUAAAAUGGGAUGGCAACCGCAGCAAAUGACGAGCGCAGCCAAGGUCUCGGUGGGCUUCAUCCCCACAACAAGCAGAAAUGUAUAUUGAAGACUCAGAGGCGGUGAGGAAGCCAGCAGCUGGCGAGAUGGAGAAGGG
rnacentral:lncRNA from 1 species